UUAGAGACACGACCUCGGAGCGAGGCUAGGGAAACAGAUACUAGCCAUUCUGUACGACAGACUAAAGCGCAACUCCAGACAUCAGGCCAACAGCCCCGAAGAGUUAUCAGCCCAGAACAGCUAAAACAUCAUCUGUGAAUCCGUCCUAAUGGAGCUUUCUGAAGUCCUUUACACAGCUGCUCCGGGGAAUAGAUGAUUGGGAACAGCCUUCGUUAGAGUGGGUUUCAGUGGAGCAAAACGCGUGCAGCCAGUCCCCAUCACACUAUUGUCGACCUGACAGACAAACAAAAAAGGAUCACGGAUGCUUCAAGUACUCUGAAUGAUGACAUAGAUGCUAUUCUCCCGUUCUGUACGAACGGCUUUACCCUAACUCCCCCAGGAACCAAGCUCCAUAUUUCAGACCCAAACAAGUAACGCACAACUUGUGCGCAAGUGCCUUGCGCAGAAUCACCCCGGCCCGAAAAGUUACUGCUUCAAGAAACGGCGCUACAUGGACAAGACUCCAUCGAGACAUUCCUGGCAGAAUCUGGAAGGCCUGGUGAAAAAAGUCUAGAGCCCACGGUUUCCGCGAUUCGUCAGAACAGCCCGCGUCAAAAAAGCUGAGACUCCUCCCAGGCGUAUAACGGCACAGAAGACCAUACACCCCGAGAGCACGCGGAGGAUUUCGGUGCGCCGGACAUUCCCAAUAAAACAACGAAACCGGAUGAUUUCACCGUUUUAAAUGACAUUCCCGAGGUAGACAACUUGCUCCUCUGCGAAUUGGCCAACCUUCUUGAUUCCUCCAAUUCUUAUGUAGAAACACCCAAACCUGAAAUAGAACAAGCUAGGUUUAUUACUGCCUUUUCCAGGGCUCUAAAAUCCAGAAAUGUCUUGCUACACAAACGAAUGGUGGAUUUACUUGAGCGGCAGUACUGUCAGGAUCUAUCCUUCUGGCGUAGAACAAUGUCCCGCGUGUAAACUUGGAAUCAAUCACACGCUUGGUCGAGGGGUUCAUAAACGAUCGGAAUAGUGACUUUGAGAUUUUGAGCUCCUACAAAAAAACAUUGUUAGGGAUAAAAAGGGCUUCCAUCUCAGGAAUGCACCACUUACUAAAAGAUUCAGGGUAGUCUAUGACAAGAGACUGCUUUUACCUAACGGGACCACAUUGCCCUUUGGCUACUGAGUUAUGCUACAAGCCCCAGUGUGUCUUAAAGCUUAAGAUAUAAUGGCUGCUGUAGAAGGUUUUGACCCCCGGUUGCAACUACCAUUUUCGGCCUUUAUCGCAGGCCCCUCCAACAGUGGUAAGACUUGUUUUGUAAAAAGGAGUUUAGAGAAUUCUGAAUCUCAGAAGCCUGACAAUAUUGUGUGGUGUUAUUUGUGUUAUCAGCCUUUGUAUGAUGAACUGAUGAAGAAAAUAAAAAUCAAGUUUGUUGAAGGAAUACCUGAAUCCAUGUCUGAUGAUGAACUUUUACCUCCUCAUAAAAACAAUCUGCUGGUUUUGGACGAUAUGCUAUUUGCAGGUAGCGAACACCCUGAAAUUGCAAGAGCUUUUACCCAAUAUACUCAUCAUAGAAACCUGUCCGUGCUUUACUUGGUGCAGAAUGUGUUUCACCAAGGUAAAAAUAGCCGUACCAUUAGUUUGAAUGCCAAUUACAUGGUUUUGUUCAAAAACCCUAGAGACAAACUACAAAUUAACACUCUAGCUCAGCAGAUGUACCCUGCAAGGAAAUCCUACUUUAU
rnacentral:lncRNA from 1 species